GAAGGAUGUGUUUGCUUCUCCUUCACCAUGACUGUAAGUUUCCUGAGGCCUCCCCAGCCAUGCUCAACUGCUGUUCCGACUCAUGAUCAAGCCUGAGACAGAGUGAUGGGCGUGGCUUCCCAAAAGGUAAGUAUCAAUCAAAAAUGUGAGGGAGAAAGUAAAAUGAAGUCACAAUCUAGUCAUCGCCUCCACACCAGUCACGCCUUCUCCCACCUAGACAAUAUCAUCUCCACUCCCAAGCCUGAAAUGCUCCCCCCCAUGCCUUUGAGGUUAAGGUCUGGGAAGAAAACUCUAAGAAGAGAGAAAAGGGCACCAAUAUGGAGACCUUAGAAUAUAAAAAGCAGACUUAAUCUGUCUAACUUGUUUCUUGACUUGGCCAUGAUCCCAGGAAUGGAGGAAGGAUCUUCCUUUUCCUCCUCCUCGAGAGGCAUCAGAGCAUGGGCUUUGGCUCUGUUACUUCCUGGCGGGGAAAUUACUUACCUACUCUGUCUCAGUUUAACUUAUGUCUUAAAGGGGUAGAGUAACAGUAUCCACUGGAGUAGAUACGUUGUUAUGCCUCCCAGCCUCUCCUUCGGGACCUGGUUACUUAAUUCCCUGGCUGCAAGGAGUGUUAGCUGCGGACUGCUCACAGCUGAGUCUCUCAGAGGAAUUGCCCUCAACCGAAGGAAGUUGUAUUACCCAAGAUGAGGUCUCCUCGCUGGGGCAGCCUGCAUCCAAAGACGACUCAGUGGGGUGUACGAAGGCCUGGCCUCCUCACCUUGAUUGGACAACUCCAAAGGGCCAGCCCAGUUUCUGAUCUCCCCAUAGAAUCUCCCGAAGCCUCCAGUGUGACUGCAUCAGAGCCUGACUUCUCAUUCCACCCAAUCCAGUCGCCUUUCCUUCUCACAGGUGUUGUUCCUAAAACUCAAUAAACUGCCUACAUGCAAA